rnacentral:lncRNA from 1 species
AAGGACCUCUCAGUGAUUUCCAGUGGUCUCUCCUUGACCCUCAGAAUGGCUAGUCGUCUUGUCCAGCUGGGAGCCUGGGCUAAUCUUGCUGGAAGGCAGAGAGGGGUUAUUAAAAGUCAGAAAGUGGCCGGGCACAGUGGCUUGUGCCUGUAAUCCCAGCACUUUGGGAGGAUGGGGCAGGAGGGACACAUCUGGGGCUCUAUGAGGAGGACAGCUUUCAUCCUGGGCUCUGGACUUCUCUCAUUUGUGGCCUUCUGGAACUCAGUGACAUGGCAUCUUCAGAGAUUUUGGGGUGCUUCUGGCUACUUUUGGCAAGCCCAGUGGGAGAGGCUGCUGACUACAUUUGAAGGGAAGGAGUGGAUCCUCUUCUUUAUAGGUGCCAUCCAAGUGCCUUGUCUCUUCUUCUGGAGCUUCAAUGGGCUUCUAUUGGUGGUUGACACAACAGGAAAACCUAACUUCAUCUCUCGCUACCGAAUUCAGGUCGGCAAGAAUGAACCUGUGGAUCCUGUGAAACUGCGCCAGUCUAUCCG